CCAAACUUGGUCAUUUAGAGGAAGUAAAAGUCGUAACAAGGUUUCCGUAGGUGAACCUGCGGAAGGAUCAUUACCGAGCAAGGGUUCUUUUCAAGGCCCGACCUCCCAUCCUGUGUCUACUUGACCUUUUGUUGCCUCGGCGGGCUCGCCCGUCGGGGACCCCCUCAAACUCUUGAUGAACCGUGUCGUGUCUGAACAAAGAAAAAAAUAAGCACAAAACUUUCAACAACGGAUCUCUUGGUUCUGGCAUCGAUGAAGAACGCAGC
rnacentral:misc_RNA from 1 species